rnacentral:rRNA from 1 species
GACGUAGGGUGCGAGCGUUGUCCGGAUUUAUUGGGCGGAAAGAGCUCGUAGGCGGCUCGUCGCGUCGACCGUGAAAACCCGCGGCUUAACUGCGGGCUUGCGGUUGAUACGGGCGGGCUAGAGUUCGGUAGGGGAGACUGGAAUUCCUGGUGUAGCGGUGAAAUGCGCAGAUAUCAGGAGGAACACCGGUGGCGAAGGCGGGUCUCUGGGCCGAUACUGACGCUGAGGAGCGAAAGCGUGGGGAGCGAACAGG